GAUGAACGCUGGCGGCGUGCCUAAUACAUGCAAGUCGAGCGAACAGACGAGGAGCUUGCUCCUCUGACGUUAGCGGCGGACGGGUGAGUAACACGUGGAUAACCUACCUAUAAGACUGGGAUAACUUCGGGAAACCGGAGCUAAUACCGGAUAAUAUAUUGAACCGCAUGGUUCAAUAGUGAAAGACGGGUUUGCUGUCACUUAUAGAUGGAUCCGCGCCGCAUUAGCUAGUUGGUAAGGUAACGGCUUACCAAGGCGACGAUGCGUAGCCGACCUGAGAGGGUGAUCGGCCACACUGGAACUGAGACACGGUCCAGACUCCUACGGGAGGCAGCAGUAGGGAAUCUUACGCAAUGGGCGAAAGCCUGACGGAGCAACGCCGCGUGAGUGAUGAAGGUCUUCGGAUCGUAAAACUCUGUUAUUAGGGAAGAACAAAUGUGUAAGUAACUAUGCACGUCUUGACGGUACCUAAUCAGAAAGCCACGGCUAACUACGUG
rnacentral:rRNA from 1 species